AUUGCACAAUGGGCGAAAGCCUGAUGCAGCAACGCCGCGUGAGUGAUGAAGGCCUUCGGGUCGUAAAACUCUGUCCUCAAGGAAGAUAAUGACGGUACUUGAGGAGGAAGCCCCGGCUAACUACGUGCCAGCAGCCGCGGUAAUACGUAGGGGGCUAGCGUUAUCCGGAUUUACUGGGCGUAAAGGGUGCGUAGGCGGUCUUUCAAGUCAGGAGUGAAAGGCUACGGCUCAACCGUAGUAAGCUCUUGAAACUGGGAGACUUGAGUGCAGGAGAGGAGAGUGGAAUUCCUAGUGUAGCGGUGAAAUGCGUAGAUAUUAGGAGGAACACCAGUUGCGAAGGCGGCUCUCUGGACUGUAACUGACGCUGAGGCACGAAAGCGUGGGGAGCAAACAGGAUUAGAUACCCUGGUAGUCCACGCUGUAAACGAUGAGUAC
rnacentral:rRNA from 1 species